rnacentral:rRNA from 1 species
UACGAAGGGGGCUAGCGUUGCUCGGAAUCACUGGGCGUAAAGGGUGCGUAGGCGGGUCUUUAAGUCAGGGGUGAAAUCCUGGAGCUCAACUCCAGAACUGCCUUUGAUACUGAGGAUCUUGAGUUCGGGAGAGGUGAGUGGAACUGCGAGUGUAGAGGUGAAAUUCGUAGAUAUUCGCAAGAACACCAGUGGCGAAGGCGCACAUCUGGCCCGAUACUGACGCUGAGGCGCGAAAGCUAGGGGAGCAAACGGG